rnacentral:rRNA from 1 species
CCUACGGGAGGCUGCAGUGAGGAAUAUUGGUCAAUGGACGAGAGUCUGAACCAGCAAAGUAGCGUGAAGGAUGACUGCCCUAUGGGUUGUAAACUUCUUUUAUAUGGGAAUAAAAUGUUCCACGUGUGGGAUUUUGUAUGUACCAUAUGAAUAAGGAUCGGCUAACUCCGUGCCAGCAGCCGCGGUAAUACGGAGGAUCCGAGCGUUAUCCGGAUUUAUUGGGUUUAAAGGGAGCGUAGGUGGAUUGUUAAGUCAGGUGUGAAAGUUUGCGGCUCAACCGGAAAAUUGCAGUUGAAACUGGCAGUCUUGAGUACAGUAGAGGUGAGCGGAAUUCGUGGUGUAGCGGUGAAAUGCUUAGAUAUCACGAAGAACUCCGAUUGCGAAGGCAGUUCACUGGACUGCAACUGACACUGAGGCUCGAAAGUGUGGGUAUCAAACAGGAUUAGAUACCCGAGUAGUC